rnacentral:rRNA from 2 species
UUCCCCUAGUAACUGCGAGUGAAGCGGGAAAAGCUCAAAUUUAAAAUCUGGUAGUCUUUGGCUGCCCGAGUUGUAAUCUAGAGAAGUGUUAUCCGCGUUGGACCGUGUACAAGUCUCCUGGAAUGGAGCGUCAUAGAGGGUGAGAAUCCCGUCUUUGACACGGACUACCAGUGCUUUGUCAUGCGCUCUCAAAGAGUCGAGUUGUUUGGGAAUGCAGCUCAAAAUGGGUGGUAAAUUCCAUCUAAAGCUAAAUAUUGGCGAGAGACCGAUAGCGAACAAGUACCGUGAGGGAAAGAUGAAAAGAACUUUGGAAAGAGAGUUAAACAGUACGUGAAAUUGCUGAAAGGGAAACGCUUGAAGUCAGUCGCGUUGCCUGGGGAUCAACCUUACUUUUGUUGGGUGUACUUUCCAGGUGACGGGUCAGCAUCAAUUUUGACCGUUGGAUAAAGUGUAGAGAAAUGUGGCAUCUUCGGGUGUGUUAUAGUCUCUGCUCGUAUACAACGAUUGGGAUUGAGGAACUCAGUACGCCGCAAGGCCGGG